CACAACAGAGACAAACAUUACAUCUCUCAUCUACUCUGAGCUCAGAUGAGAAAAUAUAAGAAGAGUUUAACUCCAAAAUGCUAUAUAUCCAUUUUCAGAAAUGUUUGUAGAAUUUGCUUUUAUUGUUUCAAGAAAUUAUGACAGAGAUUGGUGUGUUUUUUCACAAGCUAAGCAUGGAAUGUGAUUGUUCAAAAACAGACAUGUAUUUGCUUAAAAUGUUUCACUUGAUUAUUUCAUUUCAGAGUGACAAAUAGUGCUGUUUCUUUCCUAAUCGCUAUAUAUCUGCCUCACUCAUAGAAAUAAGUAGUACUGCUACGUCUUACACAGUAAUAAUAUAUAUCUGUCUCUCUCAUAGAAAUCAGUAGUACUGCUAGGUUUGAUACAGUCAAAUGUGACCGACCGGCUCGAUUCGGGCCUGAUGUAGCAAAAUUUGAAAUAGUUUUUUUACUACAGACUCAGACCUAGAAAAUGGUAUAUCACACACGACAGUUGUGUAAGGGCUCUUGUCGCAAUGAGGAUCGGACCAAAGCACAGCGUGGUAAGUGUUCAUGUCUUUAUUAGAUCAAAAAACACUAAAAAACACUCUAACAAAAUAAACAAGAGGGAAAACCGAAACAGUUCUGCAAGAACAAGAAAACACCUAUCCACAAAAAUCAGGUGGGAAAAAAGCCUGAUGAUUUCUCAAACAAUGAUAGACAUCUGUCCCUGAUUGAGAACCAUACCCGGCCAAAACAUAGAAACAGAAAACAUAGAAAUAAAGAAACUACAAUACCCACCCUAGUCACACCCUGGCAUACCCAAAAUAGAGAAUAAAACCCUCUCUAUGGCCAGAGUGUGACACGUUGAGGAACAAUGGGAAAGUAAUUCUGCUUUGAAAGAUGAUAAACUUGUAACGUCAUUGUCACACCAUAGAGGUUUUUAUACUCUACUUUUGUUAGGCCAGGGUGUGACUAGGGUGGGCAUUCUAUGUUAAUUUUCUAUAUUUGGGAUUUCUGUGUUUGGCCGGGUGUGGUUUCGGUUAUUCUUUUUGUCAUUUUCGUAUUUAGUGUUCAGUUGCUAAUAAAUUAAUUAUGAACACGUGGACACCUUGGUCCUUCUUCUCUUGAUUGCCGUUACAGUAAUCUUUGAGAAAAUAGUCUUUAGUAGUAGUCUUUAGUAGUCAAAUAGUCUUUGUCUACAUGGCUGUUAGUUAGGCAGAUAAUGUAACCUAUCUUAAUAUAUUUUGAUAUAUAAUUAACUAAAUGUAUGAUGUUUUUGGUUGAAGUCAGUUUCAUUGUUUCUUAUGCUAUAAAUGGUUAUUUUAUGAUAGUAUGUGGUAAAAUGAACUAGAAAAUUAUAUAUUUUGCAUUUCUGAGUAAUUACUAUUUUAGUAAGGAAUUGCACAUUAUUCAGUAUUCCUGCAGUUGCUGCAUAAUUCCAAUAGAUGGCAGCAUAAGACACCUAAAAGACACCUGCCUCUGAUUGAGAACCAUACCAGGCCAAACUCAAAAACCAACAUAGAAAAACAAACACAGACUGCCCAACCCAUAAUAAAACAAAGACAAAACAAAGGCGGUUAACAAAGGAACUAAGGUCAGAACGUGACACAUCCGCUGAAUUCCAAAUUAAAAAUAUUUCAUGUUCAAGAAAUCACAAGUGCAAUAUACCAAAACACAGUUCAGCUUGUAGUUAGUCCACCUGGUGUAUCAGAUUUCAAAAAAGCUUUACAGCGAAAGCAAACCAAACAUUUAUGUGAGGAUAUCUCUUUCAGCAGACAAAACAUUACAAACAGCUAGCAGCAAAGUAGAUUGGUCACGAAAGUCAGAAAAGCAAUCAAAUUAAUCGCUUAACUUGAUGCUCUUCAUAUGUUUACACUCACGAGACUCCCAGUUACACAAUAAAAUAUUAUUUUUAUAUCCAAAAACCAUUUCGUUGGCACGUUUUGUUUAGUAAUCCACAGGCUCGUGCAGGUCACGAUGGGCAGACAAACAUUCCAAAUAGUAUCCGUAAAAUUUGUAGAAACAUGUCAAACGUUUUUUUAUAAUCAAUUCUCAGGUUGUUUUUACAAUAUAAAAUUGAUAAUAUUUCAACCAGACGGUAGCCUUUUCAAUAGGAGAGAAAGAGAGAAAAGGUCUUGCUCCAGACCCUCGUGCAAAAAUCUGGGGACAUCCAGCUAUCUACUGACACGAUGUGAUCAAUCUCGCUCAUUUUUCAGAAUAAAAGCCUGAAACUGUCAAAGACUGUUCACACCAUGUGGAAGCCAUAGGGAAAGGAAUCGGGUUGAUAUCCCUUAAAAUUGGAGGGUAGGCAUGCAAUGGAACAGAGAGGUUUCAGAAUAACAGCACGUCCUGGUAGGAUUUUCCUCAGGUUUUCGCCUGCAAUAUCAGUUCUGUUAUAAUCACAGACAAUAUUUUGACAGUUUUGGAAACUUUUGAGUGUUUUCCAUCCUAUUAUGCCAAUUAUAUGCAUAUUCUAGCGUUUGAGCCUGAGAAACAGGCAGGUUCAUUUGGGCACAUUUUUCAUCCAAACAUCAAAAUACUCCUAGUCUCAAGAGGUUUUAAGCAUUAAAGUCAUCUAGUUACCGUCCACCGUCCAAAGAUCUGCUUUGCUUUAUCUUGGCCAGGUCGCAGCUGUAAAUGAGAUCUUGUUCUCAACUAGCCAACCUGUUUAAUUAUACAUAUAGGUGAACUAAAAAUGUAAUAAAUAAAAAAUAAAUCAAUAAAAUAAUAUUCAAAAGUUCGGUCCUUGGACACAGAGGGGUUAAACACUGUUCUGUACGGGGACGCGGACAGUUCCAGAACGCGGACAUGAGCAGUGGAACACAAUCAACUAAACCCAGUCUUUACAGUGGGUUACAUUAGUAAUAUUCAUUUUUUAUUAUUAUGUUAAACAAACAUUCUACGUUUUUUUAUAACAAUAUGUUGAGCUCAGGGACCAUAUCCACAAAGCGUCAUUUUGGCAGACUAACUCAGGUUUUUUCCAUAUACACAAAGCGUCUCGGAGUACAACAUUGGUCGUAUAAGUGCUGAGAAUAAAGACAUUUGACGCUAAUGUGUAUAAAUUAAAGCUAUUUAUGAAGUAUCUAGUCCCACCUAGUCAGCAGAUAUUUAGGACACCUGGUGAGCUGUCCUAAGUAGUUAAGAGUUAACAGCAGGUGUCCUAAGUAGUUAAGAGUUAACAGCAGGUGUCCUAAGUAGUUAAGAGUUAACAGCAGGUGUCCUGAGUAGUUAAGAGUUAACAGCAGGUGUCCUAAGUAGUUAAGAGUUAACAGCAGCUGUCCUAAGUAGUUAAGAGUUAACAGCAGGUGUCCUAAGUAGUUAAGAGUUAACAGCAGCUGUCCUAAGUAGUUAAGAGUUAACAGCAGCUGUCCUAAGUAGUUAAGAGUUAACAGCAGCUGUCCUAAGUAGUUAAGAGUUAACAGCAGCUGUCCUAAGUAGUUAAGAGUUAACAGCAGCUGUCCUAAGUAGUUAAGAGUUAACAGCAGCUGUCCUAAGUAGUUAAGAGUUAACAGCAGCUGUCCUAAGUAGUUAAGAGUUAACAGCAGGUGUCCUAAGUAGUUAAGAGUUAACAGCAGGUGUCCUAAGUAGUUAAGAGUUAACAGCAGGUGUCCUGAGUAGUUAAUAGUUAACAGCAGGUGUCCUAAGUAGUUAAGAGUUAACAGCAGGUGUCCUGAGUAGUUAAGAGUUAACAGCAGGUGUCCUAAGUAGUUAAGAGUUAACAGCAGGUGUCCUAAGUAGUAAAGAGUUAACAGCAGGUGUCCUGAGUAGUUAAGAGUUAACAGCAGGUGUCCUAAGUAGUUAAGAGUUAACAGCAGCUGUCCUAAGUAGUUAAGAGUUAACAGCAGCUGUCCUAAGUAGUUAAGAGUUAACAGCAGCUGUCCUAAGUAGUUAAGAGUUAACAGCAGCUGUCCUAAGUAGUUAAGAGUUAACAGCAGGUGUCCUAAGUAGUUAAGAGUUAACAGCAGGUGUCCUAAGUAGUUAAGAGUUAACAGCAGGUGUCCUGAGUAGUUAAGAGUUAACAGCAGGUGUCCUAAGUAGUUAAGAGUUAACAGCAGCUGUCCUAAGUAGUUAAGAGUUAACAGCAGCUGUCCUAAGUAGUUAAGAGUUAACAGCAGCUGUCCUAAGUAGUUAAGAGUUAACAGCAGCUGUCCUAAGUAGUUAAGAGUUAACAGCAGGUGUCCUAAGUAGUUAAGACUUAACAGCAGCUGUCCUAAGUAGUUAAGAGUUAACAGCAGCUGUCCUAAGUAGUUAAGAGUUAACAGCAGGUGUCCUAAGUAGUUAAGAGUUAACAGCAGGUGUCCUGAGUAGUUAAUAGUUAACAGCAGGUGUCCUAAGUAGUUAAGAGUUAACAGCAGGUGUCCUGAGUAGUUAAGAGUUAACAGCAGGUGUCCUAAGUAGUUAAGAGUUAACAGCAGGUGUCCUAAGUAGUUAAGAGUUAACAGCAGGUGUCCUGAGUAGUUAAUAGUUAACAGCAGGUGUCUUGAUAAUACUAUAGAAUUAUGCAGUGAGUCAGUGGUUCCUGCUCCACAUGUAAUUGCUUUGAAGUAGUUAAAAUAAUGUUUGAUAUUUCUAUAUGAUCAAUCCAUAAAUAAUAAUAUAGACCUACAUGCAACAGUAUGUCUUGUGCUUUUGGCAAUGAGUUAUGUAUAAUAAUGAUGUAUAACUAGUGAUACCAUGUAUGUCUGCAUAGCAUUUUGUCUUCAUUUUAGCAGAUUAACUCAUGCUUAUUUCUGAAGAUUAACACAGGUUUUUGCCCAGUGGCUAAGGAGUUGGAGCUGUGGCUGAAAGGUGGCUGGUUUGAAUCCCGUGAGCUGGAAAAAAACUGCUGCUGGGUUCACCACGUCAAAACCUCAAAACAUUAACCUUUCGUUGAUCAGAACUCUAGAGGUUCUUCUUCGCUGAAACCAAAAAAUAUAACUUUUAGUGAUUCCAUAUAUUAAUGAAGUGAUAGAAGCCUUUUUGGUUCUAGAAGGAACCUUCUGUUCUAAGAGUGUAUAAUAAUAAACACGUUGUUCUUCUGAUUAUUUAAUUAUCUACAUCAUGUUAUUUCAAGUUCUCCCUUUGGACACAACAUCAUGUUGUUAAAAAUACUCCUAAAUUGUACAUGGCUAUAAAUUGGGCAUUUGAAGGCAUCUAGGGUGUAAUAUGUGUUCAAUGAAUAUGAACAUUGUUGCAACGUUGUAGGCAACAUUAUUGGCAAGGGACUUGAUGACUACUAUGCCAAAGAUAUUUAGAGUUGUUAAACCGUUGUGAAGAGUGUGUUGAUAUAAAGGUAAUAUUGUAAUAUUGUUAAAAUUAUGCGUGUAACAACAAUCAGAAUUGGUUAAAAAAUAUGCAUACCAUUAUAUUAGGUAAUAAUUAAGAGUAGGCAAAGUGGUCGUGUCAUGUGAAAAUUAUGUCAAAUGUCUAACAUUGGAACGAGUACAGUCAGGGUGCCGUGGAACCCCUGCAGUACCUCCCCAGACCCCGGAAUCAGAACCCCUGAUUUAGCAGAUGCUCUUAUCCAGAGCGAUUUACAGAUAGCAUUCAUCUUGAGAUAGUAAGCUGAGACAAUCACAUAAUAGAGUCAAAUAUACAAACAUUUCAUUCCAGCUAAAAAAUGGAUAUAUAGCGUUUUGCAAUAAAUAAAAAAAAUGAUACAAAAAAAAACGAUGAAUUAAAAAUCUGAGAGCAGUGAAGAUAACCGUUUCUGAUUAAAAAAACUAAUGUGCAAAUUUUUGGAAAUAGCAUUUUUGAAAGAAACUCUAAAUAAUUCCUAAACACAACUG